AUUGAACGCUGGCGGCAGGCCUAACACAUGCAAGUCGAACGAGUGGCGGACGGGUGAGUAAUGUCUGGGAAACUGCCUGAUGGAGGGGGAUAACUACUGGAAACGGUAGCUAAUCCCGCAUACUCUCGGAUGUGCCCCUAUGGGAUUAGCUCGUAGGUGGGGUACAUGCUCACCUAGGCUACGAUCCCUAGCUGGUCUGAGAGGAUGACCAGCCACACUGGAACUGAGACACGGUCCAGACUCCUACGGGAGGCAGCAUUGGGGAAUAUUGCACAAUGGGCGCAAGCCUGAUGCAGCCAUGCCGCGUGUAUGAAGAAGGCCUUCGGGUUGUAAAGUACUUUCAGCGGGGAGGCGUUACCCGCAGAAGAAGCACCGGCUAACUCCGUGCCAGCAGCCGCGGUAAUAC
rnacentral:rRNA from 1 species